rnacentral:rRNA from 1 species
UACUCCUACGGGAGGCAGCAGUGGGGAAUUUUCCGCAAUGGACGAAAGUCUGACGGAGCGACGCUGCGUGAAGGAUGACGGCCUGCGGGUUGUAAACUUCUUUUCUCGAAGAAGAAUAAAUGACGGUAUUCGAGGAAUAAGCAUCGGCUAACUCUGUGCCAGCAGCCGCGGUAA